rnacentral:rRNA from 1 species
AUUGAACGCUGGCGGCAGGCUUAACACAUGCAAGUCUAGCGAGCGGCGGACGGGUGAGUAAUGUCUGGGAAACUGCCUGAUGGAGGGGUAUAACUACUGGUAACGGUAGCUAAUACCGCAUACCAUCAGAUGUUCCCAGAUGGGUUUAGCUAGUAGGUGGGGUAAUGGCUCACCUAGGAGACGAUCCCUAGCUGGGCUGAGAGGAUGCACAGCCACACGGGAACUGAGAGACGGGCCAGACUCCUAGGGGAGGCAGCAGUGGGGAAUAUUGCACAAUGGGCGCAAGCCGGAUGUAGCCAUGCCGCGUGUGUGAAGAAGGCCUUCGGGUUGUAAAGCACUUUCAGCGAGGAGGCGUUAAUCGCAGAAGAAGCACCGGCUAACUCCGUGCCAGCAGCCGCGGUAAUAC